rnacentral:rRNA from 1 species
GGAUGUUGGCUUAGAAGCAGCCAUCAUUUAAAGAAAGCGUAACAGCUCACUGGUCAAGUGAUCCCGCGCGGAAAAUUCAACGGGGCUCAAGCGUUGUACCGAAGUUGCGAAAUCGACGCCCAGUUUACUGGCCGUCGAUUGGUAGGGGAGCGUUCCGCUCGCAGUGAAGGCAGACCGGAAGGACUGCUGGAGCGUGCGGAAGUGCGAAUGUCGGCAUGAGUAGCGAAAUGUGAGUGGGAAUCUCACACACCGUAUGGCCAAGGUUUCCUGAGCAAGGCUCGUCCUCUCAGGGUUAGUCGGUCCUAAGUCGAGGGCGAACGCCGUAGACGAUGGACAUCUGGUUGAUAUUCCAGAACCACCAAAGACCGUUUGCACCGCAAGGUGUCGUCGGGCCGAGGCGGAGGGUGGCUCUCUGACGCAAGUCAGGGGGUACUCCGAGCCGGAGUUCGAUGGGAGCAAGGGCAUGACGGGGUCUGGUAGUUCGAGCGUGCUAUGGAAUGCACGUCCAAGCUCGUAGGGGGUGGGACUAGGUAAAUCCGGUCCCGCAUUCAACUCUGAAAAGCGAUGGGAAGGGGUGUAUGCCCUGACUCGAGCAAGCCAAGCCUCCAAGAAAAGUGUCUAGCGAGGUCCUAGGUGACCGUACCGCAAACCGACACAGGUGGGCGGGUAGAGAAUACCAAGGCGAUCGGGAGAACCCUCGUUAAGGAACUCGGCAAAAUAGCCCCGUAACUUCGGGAGAAGGGGCGCUCUCAUGUGCAGCUUGCUGUAUGUGAGAGCCGCAGUGAAUAGGCCCAGGCGACUGUUUAGCAAAAACACAGGUCUCCGCUAAAGCGCAAGCUGACGUAUGGGGGCUGACGCCUGCCCAGUGCUGGAAGGUUAAGAGGAGGGGUGCAAGCUCUGAAUUGAAGCCCCAGUGAACGGCGGCCGUAACUAUAACGGUCCUAAGGUAGCGAAAUUCCUUGUCGGGUAAGUUCCGACCCGCACGAAUGGCGUAACGAUCUGGGCACUGUCUCAACGAGGGAUCCGGCGAAAUUGAAAUACCAGUGAAGAUGCUGGUUACGCGCGCUGGGGCAAAAAGACCCCGUGGAGCUUUACUACACCCUGAUAUUGAAUUGAGGCUCGACCUGUGUAGGAUAGGUGGGAGGCUUUGAAACUGGGGCGCUAGCCUCGGUGGAGCCGUCGUUGAAAUACCACCCUUGUUGUGUUUCGUUUCUAACCCCGUGCCGUUAUCCGGCCGGGGAACAGUGUCAGGCGGGUAGUUUGACUGGGGCGGUCGCCUCCUAAAGAGUAACGGAGGCGCCCAAAGGUCCUCUCAGGCUGGAUGGAAAUCAGCCAUAGAGUGCAAAGGCAUAAGAGGGCUUGACUGCGAGACCUACAAGUCGAGCAGGUGCGAAAGCAGGGCUUAGUGAUCUGAUAACUCCGAGUGGAAGGGUUAUCACUCAACGGAUAAAAGCUACCCCGGGGAUAACAGGCUGAUGGUGCCCAAGAGUUCAUAUCGACGGCACCGUUUGGCACCUCGAUGUCGGCUCGUCGCAUCCUGGGGCGGAAGUACGUCCCAAGGGUUUGGCUGUUCGCCAAUUAAAGCGGUACGUGAGCUGGGUUCAGAACGUCGUGAGACAGUUCGGUCUCUAU